rnacentral:rRNA from 1 species
AAGGCGAUGAUGGCUAGCCGGCCUGAGAGGGUGUACGGCCACACUGGAACUUAGACACGGUCCAGACUCCUACGGGAGGCAGCAGUGGGGAAUUUUGCGCAAUGGGCGAAAGCCUGACGCAGCGACGCCGCGUGGAGGAUGAAGGCUUUAGGGUCGUAAACUUCUGUUAAGUGGGAAGAAAAUCUUGUCUUUAAUACAGGCAGGCUAUGACGGUACCAUUAGAGAAAGCACCGGCUAACUUCGUGCCAGCAGCCGCGGUAAUACGAGGGGUGCAAACGUUAUUCGGAAUUAUUGGGCGUAAAGGGUGUGUAGACGGUUUACUAAGUCAGUUGUUAAAUUUUCCGGCCUAACCGGAAGCCUGCAAUUGAAACUGGUUCACUAGAGAGUGGAAGAGAGAAGUGGAAUUCUCGGAGUAGCGGUAAAAUGCGUAGAUCUCGAGAGGAACACCGAUGGCGAAGGCAGCUUCUUGGUCCAUUUCUGACGUUGAGACACGAAAGCGUGGGUAGCAAACAGGAUUAGAUACCCUGGUAGUCCACGCCGUAAACGAUGAUCACUGGACGUCAGUUCUGUUUUACAGGAUUGGUGUCGUAGCUAACGCGUUAAGUGAUCCGCCUGGGGAGUACGGUCGCAAGAUUAAAACUCAAAGGAAUUGACGGGGGCCCGCACAAGCGGUGGAACAUGUGGUUUAAUUCGAUGCUACGCGAGGAACCUUACCUAGGCUUGACAUGCUUUUGAUCGCUGUGGAAACACAGUUUUCCAGGUUUCGGCUUGGACAGAUGCACAGGUGCUGCAUGGCUGUCGUCAGCUCGUGUCGUGAGAUGUUGGGUUAAGUCCUUUAACGAGCGCAACCCUUGCCAUCAGUUGCUAUUUGCUUAGGCAAAGCACUCUGGUGGGACUGCCUGGGAAACCAGGAGGAAGGUGGGGACGACGUCAAGUCGUCAUGGCCCUUAUGCCUAGGGCUACACACGUGUUACAAUGGUCAGUACAAUGAGUCACGAGCCUGCAAGGGUAAGUUAAUCUCAAAAAGCUGGUCUAAGUUCGGAUUGGGGUCUGCAACUCGACCCCAUGAAGUUGAAAUCGCUAGUAAUCGCGCAUCAGCAACGGCGCGGUGAAUACGUUCUCGGGCCUUGUACACACUGCCCGUCACACCACGAAAGUUGUCUGUACCCGAAGUUGUUUUAGCUAACCUGUAAGGGGGGCGAGCACCUAAGGUAUGGGGGAUGAUUGGGGUGAAGUCGGAACAAGGUA